rnacentral:precursor_RNA from 10 species
AAGUCGUGGUGAUAAAGAGACAAAUGGAAGUUGUCAAAGUGGUGGUGAUGUGUUGUCAUGUUCGUAUCACAGCCAGCUUUGAUGAGCUUGAAUUUUGUCGCUGUCGGCAGGGGGAGGG